rnacentral:rRNA from 1 species
UAGGGAAUCUUCGGCAAUGGACGAAAGUCUGACCGAGCAACGCCGCGUGAGUGAAGAAGGUUUUCGGAUCGUAAAAUUCUGUUGUUAGAGAAGAACAAGGACGUUAGUAACUGAACGUCCCCUGACGGUAUCUAACCAGAAAGCCACGGCUAACUACGUGCCAGCAGCCGCGGUAAUACGUAGGUGGCAAGCGUUGUCCGGAUUUAUUGGGCGUAAAGCGAGCGCAGGCGGUUUCUUAAGUCUGAUGUGAAAGUCCCCGGCUCAACCGCGGAGGUUCAUUGGAAACUGGGAGACUUGAGUGCAGAAGAGGAGGGUGGAAUUCCAUGUGUAGCGGUGAAAUGCGUAGAUAUAUGGAGGAACACCAGUGGCGAAGGCGGCUCUCUGGUCUGUAACUGACGCUGAGGCUCGAAAGCGUGGGGAGCAAACAGG